CAAUGGAUAUGCCAGAAUGCUUCUGAUGUGCCCAUUGUCAUGCACACAAAUUUCCCACCUCUGUCAUGGUCCUGGGAGUCUUAAGCAGUGAGAGUGAUGACAUGGCACCACACUUCUUUGAGGAGGGACUGAGGGUGACUGCAGAAAGUUACAUCAAUGUGUUGGAGACAGUUGUGAAGCCUUGGAUGGACAAGGUGGCCGUUGGAAGGCGGUUACGUGUUCCAGCCAUGAGGCAAGGCUUCCAUCGAAUUGAAACUCAGUUACUGAAAAGCUAGACCCAGGCCUAGCUUUUCAGUAACCUGCCCUACCACUGGCCACCUGCUUGUGGUCUCCAUCUAGCCCAGACUGCAACCCUCUUGACUAUUACAUGUGGGGGUGUGGUUGAAGCAAAGAUCAAUAAGAUUUAUCA
rnacentral:lncRNA from 1 species